rnacentral:tRNA from 1 species
GCCGUGUCUAACUUUUUUGGCAAGGGGAUUGAAAAUCCCCGUGUCCUUGGUUCGAUUCCGAGUCCGGGCACCA